ACUGGCGGCGUGCUUAACACAUGCAAGUCGAACGAGACGAUGAAAGCUGCUUUGAGAGUCGAGUGGCAAACGGGUGAGUAACGCGUAGACAACCUGCCGCAAAGAUGGGGACAACAGUCCGAAAGGACUGCUAAUACCGAAUGUUGUCAAGUUUCCGCAUGGGAGCUUGAUUAAAGAUGGCCUCUACUUGUAAGCUAUCGCUUUGCGAUGGGUCUGCGUCUGAUUAGCUAGUUGGUGGGGUAACGGCCUACCAAGGCGACGAUCAGUAGCUGGUCUGAGAGGAUGAACGGCCACAUUGGAACUGAGACGCGGUCCAGACUCCUACGGGAGGCAGCAGUGGGGAAUCUUCCGCAAUGGGCGAAAGCCUGACGGAGCAACGCCGCGUGAGUGAAGAAAGGGGUUUCGGCUCGUAAAGCUCUGUUGAUGGGGACGAAUGUGCGAAAUGCGAAUAGUUUUUCGCAAUGACGGUACCCGUCGAGGAAGCCACGGCUAACUACGUGCCAGCAGCCGC
rnacentral:rRNA from 1 species